GAAAAAAACAGAACAGAACAAAUAUGACUUAUGAGAAAAUGUCCAGAGCCCUACGCCACUACUACAAACUAAAUAUUAUCCGGAAGGAGCCAGGACAAAGGCUUUUGUUCAGGUUCAUGAAGACCCCAGAUGAGAUUAUGAGUGGCCGAACAGACCGCCUCGAGCACCUUGAAUCCCAGGAACUGGAUGAACAAAUAUACCAAGAAGAUGAGUGCUGAAGGGAACUGGUGCACCGCCUCUGUGGGUCCAUGGGAGAAACAUCUGCCCAGAUGGCUGGCACAGUUUGGGAGGGGAAGCAACAACCCAGAAGCAGUACUUGGGGUCGCCGCUUAGCUUGAAGACCACGCAGGACCUGAAGCACCUUAACAAAACAAACUAACAGGCAGAAGUGGUGCUGGCAGAAAACUAAAGAGGAGAAAGCCUGGACUUAUGCACUACUUCACUGUUCCUACCAAGUCUCCCUUGAGUUCUUUCUUUCUUUUUGGUUUGUUUCAGUUUUGGGGAGUUUUUUGUUGGUCUUUUUCCCUAAUAAACAUGCAGUUUGACUUUCCUUAUCUCACAUAGG